GGAGUUGGCCAGACAGUCGCCGCUGUGCCUUGUGCGCAGGGGAGGAAAGUCCGGGCUCCAUAGGGCAGAGUGCCAGGUAACGCCUGGGCGGCGUGAGCCGACGGAAAGUGCAGCAGAGAGUAGACCGCCUAUGCCUUUCGAGGCAGGUAAGGGUGAAAGGGUGCGGUAAGAGCGCACCGCGCGCCUGGCAACAGUGCGUGGCAAGGUAAACCCCACUCGGAGCAAGACCAAAUAGGGACCCAAUGGCGUGGCCCGCGCUGGGUCCGGGUAGGUUGCUUGAGCGCUGUGGUGACGCAGCGCCUAGAGGAAUGGCUGUCUUAGACAGAACCCGGCUUAUCGGCCGACUCCCCCU
rnacentral:RNase_P_RNA from 1 species